GAUGAAGAACGUAGUGAAAUGCGAUACUUGGUGUGAAUUGCAGAAUCCCGUGAACCAUCGAGUCUUUGAACGCAAGUUGCGCCCGAAGCCAUUAGGCCGAGGGCACGCCUGCCUGGGUGUCACACACCGUUACCCUCGCGCCAACGUCCAUCGUUGGCCGCGGCGCGGGGCGUGCGCUGACCUCCCGCGAGCGGGGUCUCGUGGUUGGUUGAAAAUCGAGUUCGCGGUCGAGGGUGCCGUGAUGAAAUGGUGGAUGGGCGACGCCCGAGGCCAAUCACGCGCGACUCUGUCAGGCUCGGACUCCUGGACCCCUUCGGCGUCUCCGGACGCUCUUUGGCGAGACCUCAGGUCAGGCGGGGCUACCCGCUGAGUUUAAGCAUAUCAAUAAGCGGAGGA
rnacentral:misc_RNA from 1 species